GGGGGUAUAGCUCAGGGGUAGAGCAUUUGACUGCAGAUCAAGAGGUACCUGGUUCAAAUCCAGGUGCCCCUU
rnacentral:tRNA from 1 species